CAAUGACAGCAUUUGUAACAAGAAGAAACUUUGCCUGGUGAAACAAGUGCUGAAUGUUUUGUUUUCACAUUUCUUGUUCCAAAUAUAUACCUUCGAACAAAUGUGGAAGAGAUGAAGGAUAAAUGUAGGACAAGAAAGGGAAGUUUAAGAUGUCAUGAGUUUGCUGAAGAAUCAAGGUUUUAUGAUGCAUUAAGAAGUUUAAGAAUCAAGGAAAACUUUGUAUCAUACUGGAAAAUAGUGACAGGCCAGGAAAUAUCUGAUGUAUCUGUGCUUCUUGGAGUUAGGAAGCAUAUCACAGUAUUAUGUUUAUUUCUUUGAUGUAAGUGAAGAAGAGAUCGUCAGAGUAAAUACUGGAGGUCAUAAAAAUGCAGAACCAGUUUAUCUCAUUUAUGGAGCUUCCCCAGUUGCUCUGGAUUCCCUUCAUGAAACACUUGGAUGAGUCACUGAGGGAGCUUCUCAAAUUACAGUGGAUUCCCUCAAUGAAAUCAUUUGAUGACUCAUUGAGAAAGACUUCUUUUCUUUGUUAUCUCUAUCUACUAAGGGGGGACGUUGAAAAGCCAUGUUCUCUCUACUAAAAUUUAAUUUUGUUGCAGGCAGCCAAGUUUAAGAUGUCAUGAAUUUGCUCAAGAAUCAAGGUUGAAAUAUGAAACCAAUUUGCAGUCUUUUCCUAAACCAAGAGUGUUAUAUGUACUAAGAAAUUUGUUCUGUUUGAGCUUAUUGAAAGCAGUUAUUAAUUUCCCUUUACCGGACUUUUAAGUAUUUUAUAACCCCAAUUCAAAGAUGCAUUUUGCGGCAUGGGAGAGAGGAAGAAUGGUUUUUGCAGAGUUUCUGAACAAACUCAAUUAAUGGUUGCGACAAUGGAGGACAAAAUUACAUCAUGCACUGAAGAAAACUUGAUUGAGUCACUUGCAAGCAAAAAGAAAAUUUACAAGAUGAAACAAUUGCACAAAACCUGGUCUUCACAUUUACUUAGUAAACUAGCAUUUCAUGCUGUUUAAAUUUUGUCUGGCUUGGAAAAUGUUUAAGUGGUUUUUUCUGUCAUUUUGUACUAAAGCAUGUAAUUUUCUAUUUAUACUUUCAAGUUUCACCAAAUAGUCAUUGUUUCAGUGCAGCAUUCUGCGCUAUGGAAGAUAAUAGGUGUUAGAA